GAGGUGUCAGCAACAGAUUUUUAAUUAAAGUUCCCAGUUUUCAAGGGAAUAAGCUCGUGUAUAGCUCCACUUCCUCAAACCUAGCUGCUUGCAGAAAUUAAAAAAAUACUGAAAAUAAAUACAUUCACAGAAUAUAAUUCAAAUUCAAUGUGACAAUCUUUCAAGUUCUCUAACAUAUUUUUGGGGUCAUUUUGAAUGUGAUGGGAGCAACUUGCAUGCGCCUCAUAGGGGAGGAAAAAGUGUGACAUACUAGCCAGGGCACCAAUGGUGGGAAAGGCCCUUGCAAGCCUGGAAUGAAAUGUUUGCUUUAGUUUGAAUUUCUUCCUUUUAUUUCUGUUGUAAUUCAUUUGCCUGGUCAAAAAGAUCCACCCCUUCUUCUUUACAGCACAGUCGGUUACUGUUAAAGGACACUGUGAGUGAUAGCUUUCCUCAGAAAAGUAUAUUUAGAGUAUCAAGAAAGAAAUAAAAGAAUGAAUAAGGAGAGAAUAAGGAGAGAAGUCAGCAUUUAUUUAAAAAAAAAAGGUGAGCUGGUAAGCAAGAUAAACUACACUCAAACUAUUCUACUUUGAAGCCAUGCAGUAUGAGGUUUAGCAUCCUGCUAAAAUAUGCAAAGCCUAUCAUUUGAAAAAGACACAAUCUGGAUGGGAUGUUGCAUUAAAACCUGGUCAUACCUUUUAUCCUCAGUCGUGCCUUUCCAAAUGUGCAGCUGCCAAUUUCCCAUCCACUAAUGUACCUCUAUACGACUCGAUACAGUAUGCAGUAAUUGUAAUUGCUGCUGAACAAGCACUCUCCUCUUUAAUACAGAAGAUGGGGCUUUAUUUUUCAAACGUAACUUGAAAUUUCAAUUAAAUUUGGCCACAGAAAAAGCAAUUUCUGAAAAUGUUACUGAGCUCGUGCAGUGAUUUCAUUGACAGAACCAUGCCUGAUUUUAAUGCAGUGCUACUAACAUUAGUUGAUAUUCAUGAAAUUGUAAAAAGUCUCAAUUUAAAAAUGUGAUGUUUUUAUUCUGUCUCGCGGGUAUUUCUGAGGUAUGUUAUAAGUUUGUUAUAUGACAGGUAAUAGUCAUUGUUCUGAAAGAAAUUGUAUCAACGUGUCAGUAAAUAUGUUUAUUCCUGAUCUUCUCAUGGCAAAGCCUGCCAUCUAGUGGGUUAACAGGGGAAGCACCAUGUAAAAGCACAAGCGGGAGUUUUUCUCCCAGUGCUCGACAGGGAAGGUCCAUUUCUCCGUGUCUCUGACAAUUCCUGCAUCUAUUGCUCUUGAAAAGGCAUAAUCUGCAGCCAAUGCCUCAAUGUUGUCUCCCAACUCUCCGGUUACAGUCAGAGCCUGUUUUACCUUCAGAUUAGUUUCUCUGGGGGAGACCAAGAGGACAUGAAAAAGGACGAAGCUGUAUAAAAAUGAAGCGGAAAGCAACAACAGGCAGGAUACAGAGGAGGAAUGUCAGGAAUAUGGCAUGACAGUGUGACACAGGGAUAGCAAGCGGAAGAACUCCUGAGUCUCAGGGUUUCCACCUCUCACCAUCUCCACCAGACUGUGGUCAUGAAAAUUGAACUUUGGAUCUGCCAGAUUGUUCCAGG